AACGAACGCUGGCGGCAGGCUUAACACAUGCAAGUCGAGCGCCCCGACAGGGGAGCCGCAGACGGGUGAGUAACGCGUGGGAACGGACUUUUUGGUUCGGAACAACUCCGGGAAACUGGAGCUAAUACGGGAUAAGCCCUAACGGGGAAAGAUUUAUCGCCGAAAGAUCGGACCGCGUGUGAUUAGAUAGUUGGGGAGUUAACGGCGCACCAAGGCGAGGAUCAGUAUCUGGGCAGUGAGGAUGAUCACCGACACUGGGGGUGAGCCGCGGUCGGGAAUAUUGCGCGAGGCAGGAAUGGGUGAUACAGGCAAACCGCGUGAAUGCUGAACCAGUCAUGCUGCGUGAGUGAUGAAGGCCUUAGGGAAGUACAGCUCUUUUGUCCGGGAAGAUUAUGACUGUACCGGAAGAAUAAGCCCCGGCUAACUUCGUG
rnacentral:rRNA from 1 species